UCUGGGCAACUGAGGGACAUCCAGGAAGGCUCACAGGCCCUCAGUCUGCAUGGUCACCAAUGGGAACAUUGCUGAUUGCUGUUCAUCCCAGGAUUGACUGUGGAGAUUGCUACGUAAGUUUUCUCAAACCUCGUUUCUCAAACAUCUCCAUAUCAAUCAAUUAGUUUCUCAAACCAUUUGUUCCCAGGAA